UUUUAUGGAGAGUUUGAUCCUGGCUCAGGACGAACGCUGGCGGCGUGCCUAAUACAUGCAAGUCGAGCGGAUCGAUGGGAGCUUGCUCCCUGAGAUCAGCGGCGGACGGGUGAGUAACACGUGGGUAACCUGCCUGUAAGACUGGGAUAACUCCGGGAAACCGGGGCUAAUACCGGAUAACACCUACCCCUGCAUGGGGGAAGGUUGAAAGG
rnacentral:rRNA from 1 species